rnacentral:lncRNA from 1 species
GGUAUGCUAUCAUGCGGUGGGCCACCAAGGCAGAGAGCUUCCCUAAAGAUUUCCAGCAUUGCACUAUGAUUUUUUAGGAUUUCAUCUACGUGAUGAUUCCUACCUGAUUCAGGGCAGGGGUCUUGACUGAUUCAGGAUUCAUAGAUGAUUCUUGUCUGGUUCAGGACAGAGGCCUUGCCUGAUUCAGUAUCCAUUUGAUGAUUCUGACCGAAUUCAGGACAGGGGCCUUGUCUGAUUCAGUAUCUAUGUGAUGAUUCUUAUCUGAUUCAGGACAGGGGCCUUGCCUGAUUCAGUAUCUAUGUGAUGAUUCUGACCUAAUUCAUGACAGGGACCUUGCCUGAUUCAGUAUCUAUGUGAUGAUUCUUAUCUGAUUCAGGAAAGGACUUGCUUUAAAUGUCCCUUACUUUUUCCAGGUCCUCUCUCCGCAAC